CCUUGGAUCAGUUUCCAUCAUCUGAUGUUUCUGUACUAAUGUUGGUCAAAUUGUACUGUAUGUUCCAGUGGAUAGGGUUUGGCCGGUUUGUACUAUUGAGAAGAGCAGGGCAGAUUUAGCACGGCUAAUUAGUUUCAAAAAAUGCCUUCUUAUGCAACAGAAAAUGCCUUCUUGUGCAACACAAAUUCUUUACUAAUCUCUUAAGAACAAAAUUCUCUUAGGGUAGUCUGUGUUUUACCCGCAAAAGAAAAAGUGUGUUCUGUAAGAGGCGAACCCUAUGGUAACUGUCUGUAAAGGGCCAGCAUCGUUUGAACAGAUAAAAUGGUGUAACCCUGCAUAACUCGUUAUAAAACGACAUUUCUAACAUUUCCAGGUGUCAUGUUCACAUCCACUGGAUGGUUGUACAAAUUUGAGCAUCCCCUCUGCAUUUAAUGUUAGUAAUUGGAUGGCUGUACACAUUUGUUCAGGGUUUUAUGUCUUGGUCUCAGAAUUAAGUUAAUACAGUGCAAUACAAUGCAACAUUGAGGGCGUAGGGUAAUGGCACUUACAUGCAGUUGUGUCGUAGAUGUACUGAAAUAAGGGCAUAUGUAUGCUGUAGGUAUACUGAACCAAUAAUUUCACCUUAAUAUUAUGGACUAGAUGAAUGGCAGCAGCUGUUUGGGGUUGGUAGUUUGUGCAUUUUUUAAUAUGCAAGCAUGAUUGGUUAGUGUUCAAGAACGCUCUUAUAUUAUGGGACGGAGGACACUACACUAGUGUCAAGAACGCUCUUAUAUUAUGGGACGGAGGGAGUAGUUGUCAGAUCUUCUUUUCGUUCAGUACUCGUUGAGGCUGUCAUAAUUUUCUUUUACUCCAAAUUCUGCUUGGAUUUUCUAAUUAUGCAUUUACCCAGAUUAAUGCUUAAAACUAAAUUUGGUCAUUGGAUCUUUUUUGUUUAGGCGAAUUUUAUGUCUGUACAUGCUUGAUAUGAAAGGAGGGGUUUAUCUCUACUACUAUUAAACAAGCAAACAUCUUCUUUCUUAGAGACACCCCGUUAAAUGUACACCGGUUGAUUAGUACCGUCUGAUUAUCCCACCAAAUUAGAUCUAACAGCCUAGAUUAGUAUGAGGUUACAAUUAGCAAUUACAGUCCGCCCGACGUAUACUCUGCCAAAGAUUCGUCCGCCUAAUACGUGUUCCAUGAAAGCGUAAUCAGCUCCUAUCCCAGCGAUUGUAAAGACCACAGACCGCUCCUCCCUAUUCCAUGUCCAUCGUACCCUAGGGCUGGAUCCAGGGUUAUUAGAUCGCCGCCGCCGCCAGCAUACGGCUGCAGAUGAAGGCCACAACUCUUCUCUCCGGCUAUCCCCGACGCCAACCCACCACGCCAUGUCCGCCGGACCGACGACGGCCAGGACAACGUCCGGCGUCCAGCGCUGGAACGAGGAGCUCGACCAGGCUGAGCUGGGCGUCCAACCGGACAAGGCAGCAGUCCACGCCGGCGAGUGCGUGCAUGGCCCACCCCUCCGCCCACGGCGAUGGGGCUCCCGGCUGCGCAGCCGCAGCGUGGAGCAUCCGCGCGUAUGUGUAUGCGUCAGCGGCCACCCUACACGCUGCAUCUUCAUGAAUAAGGACAGACCCAGUGCAUAGAAGCUCCCACACAAGGUGGGGUCUGGGGAGGGAUUAUAGGAACCUAGUCUUACCCCUGCAAAGUGCAAUGCAGAGAGGCUGGUUCGAACCCAGGACCUCUUGGCACAAGUGGGGAGGACUUCACCACUGCGCCAGGCCUGCCCUCUACGCUGCAUCUUCAUGAAUACGCCUAUUAAAUCCAGACUUGCAGCAAGGCGUCGCCGCGGACUUUACUGACCCAACGCUGCCGUGAUGGCCGCCACACUCCUCACGCGGACACCAUGGCCUGGACGCAGCAGCGUGACACCACAUCACUACGCCUACACUGAAUUCAGCAAAGGAACUCCGGCCCAUCCAACUUUCAGGUUUGGAACAUAUUCCUUUGUCUUUCACAAAUAACAUGACAGAGUCCUAUGCUUUUAGUUCUUAUUAGGUUGUGUUUCACAAAUAACAUGACAGAAAAUCCUAUGCUGAACUGGAAUAAAUUAUUCAGAUUCUAUUGUGGUAAAGACACGAUAUCUUCCUUUUGGCAAGCGACACCAUCUGGAAGUCUUUGUAAUGAAGACUAAGUAAUGAUCGUACUACUUAACAAUGUAAAAAGAAAUUAAUGAUCAUGCUCAACUGAAUUUUCUCUGAUGUGAGCUGAUGUUGGACUCAUAAUAUGUGAGUGCAAAACCCCGACGUGGAUCUGAAAACUGGUACGAAAUGCACAAGACACUGAAACUUCCUCCUGAUUCAGUGCAGCCAUACAUCCUUCAGCCUUCUACACCACGCCGGCAAGCCGGAAAGUGCUACAACAGUGGCAGCGCUCUCCCAGGCACUUGGGCUGCCCACAACUCCUACAAAAUAAAUUGGCACAAGCUUACUCACAUAGAUUUGCAGAUCGGCGCGUGUUAAAAAUAUGUACAUGCAGAUGGAUCAUUCGCAGAUCAUCUUUAUCGGGAAGGACUACUUCUCAAGCGACUACUGCCUUUAUCAAGUAAAGGAUCUCUGUCAGCAGUACAUUCUUUGAACUUUAUUAGUUAUAUCAUCUCACUCUAUCUAUGUUGUAUUGUUUGUACAUAAUGAGUAUUGCUGCUCAAUGCAACCACUAGAAUGCAAUGAUUAGUAACUCUUCUUGCACUGUUGCAUCUAUAUGAUUGACCUUGUAUAUUCCGGGUUGACAUGCCAUUAUAUUUGACUGUACUGACAUUGAUGAUAUGCAUUUGAUGACAAUAGCAAAAUUAUAACCUAUUGGCAUGUAACAUUCUUUGAAAUGAUACGACUAUGUUUUUUUUUCUUUUACAACUUGCUUACAGAUAUACUCCCCCUGUCCCUAAAUAUGUCUUUUUAGAGAUGUCAAUAUGAACUACAUACGGAUUUAUAUAGAUGUAUUUUAGAGUGUAGAUUCACUCAUUUUGCUCUGUAUAUAGUCCAUAUUGGAAUCUUUAAAAAGACUUGCAUUUAGGAACGGAGGAAGUACAUGUUUUCUGCUUAUGAUAAUUUGCCAUAUUGGAAUCUUUUAGAGUGUAGUGAAUUAACCAGAAAACUGAACGUGCCCAAGUAAAAAAUAAUAUGAGAAGAAAAUUUAGGCUAGAAUCAUCGUAGCCAUGAAUCUCACACUAUAGCUCUGCUGGAUAUAUUGCCGACACCCUCACCACUUCGCCCACCCGCUGGAUAUAUUGCUACUCCUCUACGGAUGUCUUUCUUCUUUGCAGCUCUGUGUGCCAUGUCGGCGGCCAGGUUGACCGGUGGUGCCCAUGUCAUAUGGGUUGGGAUGUAUCGGUUUUAGCCCAGUUUUCCGUCAAUUAACCGUGCAAUUCUCUUCUUAAUCAAUGAAAAUGGCAAGUCUUUUGCCUUGUUUCAAAUGUUUUUUUACUCAGCCAUCAAAAAUGCCAAGCCUCAGAUCUGCAUUCAAAUUGCUAGGAAGCUUCUCCUAAUUUCUGACCACUCCUAAUUGGACCCAUACAACAAGUAUUAUAGUUCUUUCAUACAAGUUGAGUAUGAACAUACUGAUUUUGUACUAAUGGAGAUUGCCCUCAGCCAGUGAAAUAUCCAAUUUCUGGAUCACCUCAUUUUCCAAUUCUAAUCUAUCUAUAAUCUUUUUUGAGAUAUUAAGAUUGUAUCCAUGACAUGGGAAAUGUAAGUAGCAUGUUGUGACAUGCAUGGAUUUGCUUUUUCUAUCAAUGUUGAUGCUCCAACAUCUGAUCAAUGGUCCUUAUUCUAGAUUCUGUACUAUCAUUGUACAUAUUUGUUCCGUUAUAUAGUCAUUGUUGUUGUAAAUUGUUUAUCAUAAUACUGAUGAGGAAGAAUAAUCUAGAUGUAGUUCCGACAACGUCAAUGGAUCCUUCCCAGCUGCAUGGCUUGGCCGAAGUUGGGCGAAAGAGUUCAUGGGGCCAGAGAAAUAUGAGUUGGACGUCCGAUGCUUUCAGGCGACAUUUGUUGUAGCCCCACAAGCUUAAAAUGAGAGUACAGUUGUGCCAAACAUUGUUACAUAUUUUGAUUUCUUUGUUGGUUCCUUUCAUGGCUAAAACAAUGGUAUGCCCCUUGCAACAUUUUUUUCGAUAUAUUUCUGUGCACUAUGCUAUUUCCGGAAAAGUCUUUAUAUACAUACUUGUGCUUUCACUUCAAAACUUGGAGAGGCAAUUUGAGUUGGUGUUGUGCAUCAAUAUUACGUAUUGUUGCUCAAUGGUUUCUUCAUAAUUGUUCCUUCUAUUUUCUGAAUUUUCCAGCAUAUGAACUAUCACAUGAAUUUCAUGUGCAUUGGUUGAGACGUGCGUUGCACGUGCAUAUUUACUAGUCUAAUGAACUACACAUAUGGUUUCACAUUCCACCUCUGUGCUCGCAAUUUAAAUGCAGUAUAUUUUACUCACUAAUACAUCUUGAACAAUCUAAAAAAUAUAUAGCUUGGUUUAUCUUUGUAACUCCUUAUCUGAGUUUUCCAUUUUCCACAUUGUUGUGUCUAUUUUCUCAGUUUGGUCCUGUGUAAAUACUUGUCUUAGGGGUCUCUGUAUUGCAUAUACAUGGAAUCUUCAAGUUGUCUCAAAUGCUCAGUGGUAAAAACCAGCCAUGCUGGCGGUUCUUAUCAGUGUGAUGGUAUGCUAACUGUCUCUGAUAUAAUUCUGCUCUAAAAGCCCUACACUAUUUUUGUCUUGUGGAUACGUCGUGCAGACAAACGCUGAGUUAAAAGGUCAUAACUUUACACUAAUUUAAGAUUGUCUUGAUCUCAAGUGCUGGCUCCUACAACAUUGCAUUUCACCAAGUGAAAUGCUACAUUUCUACUCCUAACCCAUUCUCUCUUUGUUAGUGUUUUUAUUAUGCAGGUUGGAAGAAAAGAAGAUCCAGAGAAGAUCUUAGUAAUAAGAUAGUUUUUAGGAAAAUAGAUAUUUAGUUUUAGGUCAUUUCUUGUAAUUUCAGAUAUGGAGUGAUUUUCUUUAAUUUUUGUUUUGACUUUGUGAAACUUGCUACCUAUGGAUGAAACUGUGUAAUAUUGAUGAAACUAUGUAUAUGUAUGGAUGCAACUUGCUACUAUUGGUAA